rnacentral:lncRNA from 1 species
UAUCUGAGGUCAGCCUGUAGCACUGUAGGAUUUAUUAGGGGACCUUAAGAGUGAGUUUCAACUAACUGGAAAAACUCUUUAUUUGGCACCUCUCAAUUCCUGAAGGUGCAGGAUAACUGGGAUUCUACUGUACCCAUAUAAUGCCCACAAUUCAUCAAUACAUGAUAAUCCAGCACAAAAUACCCUCAUAGAUACCCCAAAGUUCCCACAAAAUGCCCUGAAUUAAUCAAUACAUAAUAAUCCAGUCCAGUGUAAAAUACCUACCAAGAUGCCCCAAGUUAGUCAAAUAAUACAGAACCCACCAAAAAAGUCCACUUAAUGAUCAGAAUUUGUCAAUACAUAAUAAUCCGGUCCCAAAUGCUCAGAAAAUAUUCUCUAAAUACCCAGAAUCUGUCGGUAUAUAAUAACCCAACCCAAAAUAGCCUCAUAGAUAUCCAGAGGUCAUGGCAAAAAAAAAUACCCCAAAAAUCCAAAGACUUUUAAGUGGCUUAGAAUUGACCUUGAUACUCCAGGACUUGGUUGACUAAUCCGCUGUUUUUCUCUGCUCUUUUUCUUUCUUGAUAGAUCGAUCUAUUACAGUGAGCGGGCAUAUCCGGACCCCUACAUCGCUGCUGCUUCGGGCAUUGGACCAGUCGCUGGGUAUGGGGCUGUUUACAGAGGCUCCUACAAUCGCUUUGCACCAUAUUGAAGAAACCCGCAUUCAUGUGUGUGUGUGUGUCUUCAUAAAACAUGACAAUUGCUGUUCAGAUUUGCUCACUAGAAGGUAAUUCAUCACGACUGCGUUUGGAAGCGUUGGAGGCAGUGGAAGCAGCGAAGGCAGUAGUCACUUCUUCCAAUGCUUCCAGAUCGAACUUCACCUCCCAAGGAAACAAGGUGCGGCUUCCGAACCCUCGACUGUGAUGUCUCUGCAGUAUGGUAGAUUAACUAUAAUUUAUGGAGUCUCUUAGAGUAUGACAUAGAGAGAUCCUAAACUGUGGGGUCUCUGUAGUAUGGAAUAGAUUGACCCUAAAGUUUGGAGAGUUUGGAGGAUGCAUAAAUAGGGAAGCCUUAGGAGGAUGGCAUUACAGUAAUAAAUUUGCCCUAAACUUUGGGGAGUUUGGAGAAAUGCAUAACUAGAUUAACCCUCAGCUGUGAUCCAUCUUAGAGUAUAACAUGACAAGAAAAAGACCCUAAAGUGAGAAGUUUGUGGAGGAUGACAUGAACAAAAUAACUGCUGAUUGAAGCCGUCACAUCAAGUCACAACAUUUAGUUGGGGGAGUUAGUCUGUGUUUCUGGUGAAUCUCUCUGUAUAUGGUUGUUAAUGGUUAAUCUAUAUGUUAUUGCAAAUUUAUCUGUUACGGUGUAAUUUACAUUAUGUUAAGGUGGACUUUGUAACAGUUCUUAACAAUGAAACAUAAAUCCAGAUAAAUAUCAUAUUUGUUAUAAAUAAUAACAGAAUGGCAGCUAUUUGAAGGUAAUUUUCAUUUCUUAAGAGUUUUAAACAGUUUGUGAUAUAAUGUAAUGAAUUGAAGGCAGCUCAGAAUUUUUUUAUGCUCUGUAAUUUUAGAUUUUACAGGCUGGAUGCAGCUCAAAGAGUGUUAUGUCAUGUGCUUCAUGAGAUUAUAGGCUAAGGCAGUCAGAAUGUGUUACAUCAAGAAUUAUUAAAGAUGUUACAUUGAAUAAGUUACCUCAACUGUUACUUAUGAUGAUAUGUAAAUGAAGUAUAUAAGAGGUUUUAGGCUUCAUAAUGGCAGUGUAACACUUAGUAAUGCAAUGAAACUGAAUACAACUUGUAAUACUGUAUUUUAUGUAAUGGGGCAGUAUAACAUUAUGCACUAAUGUAACUGAAUGUAGCUGGUAACAGAUUGUAGAUAAUGUCAGGUAAGUGUAACACCUUGUAACAAUUUUAGUGAUGUGAAGGUCUUAUAACACCUUAUAAUAUAAUGUGAGUGUUGUAUCGGAUGUCAGGAGAUAUGAAGGAACAUCUCAUAUUGUAACAAUGUGAGUCAUGGCAGAUUUAGGUGACAUCAGGCAGGUAUAACAUUGUAAUAUCUCAUAAUUUUAAGUUGAUGUGACAAUGACAUAACACUGUGUAACAUAACAGAUCCUCGGGGAUGUAGAGAUAUAUGUAACACCAGAUAACAUAAGAGAUUUUACUGUGACGUGACGGCAGUGUAACAGUCAACACAGCCCGUGACAUAUUGCGUGAUAUUAAGGGCAGUUUAUCACCCUAAAAUGUAAUACAGUGAUAUCUUUGUUACCCGGAGCAAUUGGUGCUGAGCACUUCCGGGAAUGAGAGAUUUCUGGGUAGUGAGACGACUCUCUCAAAGCCGGAAAAAAUCCCUCAUCCCAGAAUUUUCUGGGUAAUGGAAAAAUGUUCUCGGAAGUUCUAGAAAUUGCCCAUUACAUCAUCUCUCGAACCCAGAAAGACAUCCCCCAACCCCAGAAUUUUCCGGAUACCGGAAAACUUUUCCCGGAAUUUUCGGAAAAUGGCCUAAUUUUCAUCUCUCAAACCCGGAAAAAACUCCCCCAUCCCCGGAAUUUUCUUGGUCAUCAGGAAAAUUUUAUCUGAAUUUUCCGGAAAAUGUGCCCCUCAGAAAAUCGUUCCCGAAGCUGGAAUUUUCCAGAACUUCCAGCUUUGAGAAUGAUUUUCCGAGAAAAUUUCAAUUCUGGCUAUCGGAGCGUUCUGGAUUUGAGGGAUUCCGGCGAAUGGAGAUAUUACUGUAUAACAGAUUUUAGGGUGACAUGAGGGCAGCAUGACACAGAAAGCAGCAGCUUGCAACAGGUAUUAGAUGACGCUGGGGGCAGUGUGACACUCAUCGCAGCUUGUGGGUUACUAGGUGAGCUAAGGGCAGUGUGACACUGAAUGCAUCUCAUAACAGGUACUAGGUGACACUGAGGGCAGCGUGACAUUGAUCGCAGCUUGUACUAGGUAACACUAAGGGCAGCAUAACAUUGCUCAUAACAGGCAUUAAGUGAUAUUGAGGGCUGCAUAACACUUCAUAUUGUAACAAACGACAGCUGAUAUCUUGAACUUGAGGGGGUGACAGUCAGGCUCUGUUAUGAGGCGUUACGGCAGGACAAUUGGCAACACAAGGCCAGAAAAUAACACCAUAAUGCAUUAGUAACAAGCCCAUAACAACUGUGUAAUUUACAUAAAUCCUGUUACUGUAAAUUGUCUCUUUUUAUGGUGUUUUAUUCUAUGUUUUCUUUAUUUAUUUUUAUUUUUUGUCCUCGUAAAUGACACAUUUUUUACGAUGGUGAAUUGUAAUAUGACGUAAAAUGAUUUUUGUCAUAAAUGAUUUUUUUUUUACAAUUUUGUAUUAGUUACAAGAAAACGCAUACAAACAAUGAGUUUCUCCAUGUUUGUAAUCGAUACAGCGUUUGUUUUUCAUCUUAGAUGGCAGAAAAGCAUUUUGUAAAUGUAAAGAAAAUGUAGUGUGUUUUAAUGUCUUCAACGAAUGUAUGAUUAACUCUUACCAUUUCUUGUACAGUGUAAUUGUAAAUCACUUGUCUGUUUACAUUUUAUUGCGUAUUAUUCUGACGUAAAUGUGUAUUGUUUAAGUAAGUGUAAAUCUCUCCGUAAAUGAUGAUAUUAAUAGAAUCUCAUUUUAAGGUAAAUGUUGUAUUGUUUGUAAAAAGAAACAAGCGCACAUAAAAGUAGAAAUGUGUUUUUUCAUGUUUGUAAGUCAAACGUGUAGUUCUACGUCUCACGUUUGUUUAGUAGAAUUAUGUUUUCUGUAUGUUUGUAAAUGAAGUGAGUAGGUAUUCAACCUUUGUGUUUGUUAAUGGAAGUUUUAAUUUUUGUGUUUUCCUUGUGUUUUAAAACACUCAAGUGCAGCUGUUAAGAAUUUACUUGUCUUUACUUUUUACAACAACAAAAUGCAGCACUACUCAAAUCACGUGUUUGUUCAAUGUCAUUUUAGUAAAAACAAACAUAGGUGUUUUAAUGUGUUUUUUAUGUAUGUUUCACUCAAAUGCGAGAAGAACCCAAGCCGUUCAGGUCACAACAUUUGGUCACAAGUUUUACACCCUUUUGGACAUGAGGGCCACAGGAUAGAGCCUGAGAACCCUUAAAAGUGUUAAUUAUUAUCAUUAUCGUUAAUCUUAUUGCAAUUCAUCUUUUCUUUUUCUUAUAAAAAAAUAUAAUACACACUCCAUUACUAAUUUUUUUUAUAUAAAAAACAAUGGAAAACGGCAUGUGGGUUCUCUAAUAUACCUCUAUAAUUACAUUUUUUAGGUCAGUAUAAUUAGUAAUUACCAUUUAGUUAUCUUUGUUAAUUAUAAGCUUUUAAAAUCAAAGUCAAUUUAUGAUGCGCACAAUCAUUUCCUCAUUAGUGGAGGCGGUUGGGUAUGCCCUAUUAGGCCUAGGCAGUGUGGGUACAGCACACUGUAGGACAUUGAAAUUUCAGUAUAAUUGUGUCCUUUUAGGCUAAUUUAGGGGCAGUGUGUAUACAGCAGACUGCAGUACCUUGAAAAGUCAGAAUAAUUGUGCCCCUGAAGGUCAUUUUAUGGGCAGUGUGGAUAAAGUUCACUGGGAUGUUGAAAUUUGGUUACAGGAGGCCCAUGCACCAUACCUGACCAACUUCACUAACCCAAACUGUAAUGUUAGGUACCCAUUCACAGGUGGGUCAGCUGGGGGUGCCCCGGAAUAAAACCAGAGGCCUAAUAAGUACUCAUUUACAGCUGGGUCAACUUUGGGUGUCCCAGGAUGGAACCAGUGACCAAUUAGGCAUUCAUUGAUAGCUGGAUGAACUGGGGUCACCCAUCUCAUAAAUGGGUAAAUUUUGGGUACCCUGGGAUUGAACCAGCGACCCUCAGGACUAGAGGCAAGUGCUGUAUCAACUUAGCCACUGAAAAUGUCCGACAGUAUAUAAAAAAUGCUCAUAUGACAUUAGUUAUAAAGAUGAUAUUAAUAGUGUUAAUUAAGUUGUAAGUUGUAGUGUUGUUGUGGCACUGAAGACAUGUGUUAUGGUGUUGUGUGUGUGUGUGUGUGAGAGAGAGAGAGAGACUGAUUUUGUGUGCUGAAGAGAAUGUGAGAGAGUGACAGUUAUAGUAUUGCUAUGAUAUUAAAAAUGUGUGUGUGCACGUGCGUGCUUGCGUGCGUGCGUGCAAUUAAGAGAGAACGAGAUUAUUUUGAGAGGUAGAUAAAUAGAUUGAGAGAGAGAGAGAGAGCAAUAUUGCAAAUCUCAUAGAAGCUCAGGAACAAAUAAUUGACCUGACCUGACCUAGAAUAUACUCAUGAAAUCUUACUAUAAAAUGGCGCACACCAUAACACAUGCCUCUUCCUAUGCCCAAUUUUACCCCAUGUCCCAAUAUACCCCAUUUCACGACUUAUUAAAAAUCCCUAUUUAAUGGCAGUGUCCUGGUAGCUAUCGUGUGUGUGUGUGUGUGUGUGUGUGUUUGUUUGUGUUUUGGGGUCAAAUUUACUUGCUAAAGACAAUUUACAACAUGGUGCUUGGUUGAAAUUGGCUUGUAAUUGUGGUUGGUUAUCCAAUUUUGCACAAAUUUGCAGGAUAUUGUGCUUGGUUAUCAAUUCUGCACAAAUAAUACAUUGAAUUUGCACAACUUGUUUCAAUAUUGGGAAAAAUCGCACAAUAUGGUUCAAGAUUGAGAAAAAAUGCACAAAUGAGUCAAAAAUUACUCGGAUUUGCUCUAGUUUGUUGAAGUUAGCAAGAAUUUUAACAAAUUGAAAAAAAUCUGAUGAUAGAUCAAUAUUAGCAGAAAUGUUAUCACAGUUGGUAAAAAUUGGAUCAAAAUAUAGGGAAAUAACAAAUUGGCAAAGAUUAAGCAAAAAUUGUCCAUAAAAUUGUAAGAUUUGCAAAAGAAUUAUUUAUAGUUAUUUAAAUUGGUAGAAAAUUAAUAUGGUAGUAUUGCAAAAAUUGGUAGAAAUCACAAAAAUUGAAUGAAAUGUGCUCAAAAUACAUAAAAUUGCACAAAAUUGGUAUAAACUUACACAAGUUUGGUAGAAAUUGGGAGAAAAUCGCACAAAAUCAUUCAAAACUGGGUUGAAAUUGGGAAAGCAAAUUAUAUAAACCCGUCAAGUGCAAUAAUACAUCUGUGUAAUUUUUCAAGACGUGUUCAAACAGUAGAUGUCCAUAGAAUUGAUAUUGACACCUCGGAAGUCUGUAAAAUCUAUUGUUAACAUCCGAGAUUCUGUAAACCAAUGAUUGACACCUCAGAGGUUUGUAAACCAAUGAUUGGCACCUCAGAUGUCAGUAUUAUCACUAUGACACCUCCUCAAAUGUCCGUAUUAUCGCUAAUUGACACCUCGAAUGUCCGUAGAAAUAGAGGCAACUCACCACAGGAAACGGGAACUCGUCACAACCAAAGAAUUUCAGUAUUUGUGUUUUUUUUAACUGGCAAUUUUUUUUACAGGUUUUGUAAAUUGGGAAAUAUUUUAAUUUUUGUAAUUUCAUGAUUUAUGACAUUUUGGUUAAUUUUGGCCACAUGGCAAUUGGGUUGAGUAGGGGCACUUCACCCUUUAUCUAUCUAUCUAUCCAUCUUCUCUAAUGGGUAUUAAAACUUGUAUUUAUUUUUGGGCCACAUCACAACUGGGUCAACCAGAGGCACCUGGGACCCUCAAUUUUCUUUUUAACCCCCAAUUCUUAAGACAAUAUAUAGAAAGUCUUCCUUGAUAGAUAAAAUGGGUCCCAUGAUAUGCCUAUAGGCCCAUUUGGGACAGUUAGCUGGGCACUGCACUGGACAUUUUCAUUUCCUCAUCUGUAAAUUUAGGUACCAAAAAUUUACAGUAAAAAAAAAUUGUAAAUUUAACGUCCAAGAGAAGAAAAUUACACCGUAACUUGUCAAAUUUUCCUGUGUAAUUUUUUGUGUAAAUUUUAAUUUUUGAAGACCAUUAAAAUAGUUUUAGGGAAUUUUAAUUUUAAUUUUUAAUAUAAACUCAUUAAAAAAAUUGUACAAAUUACUAUGAUGUUUUAAUCUCUAUAAUAAAUAUUAAUGAUAA